UGACGUCUGGAGCUGAGCGGCUGCAAGCGGCAGUGGCGUUGCAGCUUUGGUGGAGAGAGAAGUCUGUGCCACACAACGAAGGCGAACGAAGUGGACGAGGUCUCCGGCUUUGUGCUUUUGGUACAUGAUGAAACACGACGGUGUGAAAAGGUGUGACGUCACCCAGCAGUGAUCCCACCUCUGAUCAGACGCAGGCUGAAUAUUAAGGU